UACGUAGGGGGCAAGCGUUGUCCGGAAUCAUUGGGCGUAAAGAGCGUGUAGGCGGUCCGGUAAGUCGGAUGUGAAAGCCCUCGGCUCAACCGGGGAAGUGCACUCGAAACUGCAAGGCUAGAGUCUCGGAGAGGAUCGUGGAAUUCUCGGUGUAGAGGUGAAAUUCGUAGAUAUCGAGAGGAACACCGGUGGCGAAGGCGGCGAUCUGGACGAUGACUGACGCUGAGACGCGAAAGCGUGGGGAGCAAACAGG
rnacentral:rRNA from 1 species